GACAGAGGGUGCAAACGUUGUUCGGAUUUACUGGGCGUAAAGAGCGUGUAGGCGGUCCGGUAAGUCCGCUGUGAAAGUCGGGGGCUCAACCCUCGAAUGCCGGUGGAUACUGUCGGGCUAGAGUGCGGAAGAGGCGAGUGGAAUUCCUGGUGUAGCGGUGAAAUGCGCAGAUAUCAGGAGGAACACCUAUUGCGAAGGCAGCUCGCUGGGACGUAACUGACGCUGAGACGCGAAAGCGUGGGGAGCAAACAGG
rnacentral:rRNA from 1 species